rnacentral:ncRNA from 1 species
GAUGUUAAAGCCAAACCCAUCGCGAGAUGGGGACGGAAAACCACGGGUCCGUUUUGUCGCGAUAGCCGAGUUGCCAUGC